GACGAAUGCUGGCGGCGUGCUUAACACAUGCAAGUCGAACGGAAAGGCCCUGCUUGCAGGGUACUCGAGUGGCGAACGGGUGAGUAACACGUGGGUGAUCUGCCCUGCACUUCGGGAUAAGCCUGGGAAACUGGGUCUAAUACCGGAUAGGAGCCAUCCUUAGUGUGAUGGUUGGAAAGUUUUUUCGGUGUAGGAUGAGCUCGCGGCCUAUCAGCUUGUUGGUGGGGUAAUGGCCUACCAAGGCGGCGACGGGUAGCCGGCCUGAGAGGGUGGACGGCCACAUUGGGACUGAGAUACGGCCCAGACUCCUACGGGAGGCAGCAGUGGGGAAUAUUGCACAAUGGGCGCAAGCCUGAUGCAGCGACGCCGCGUGGGGGAUGACGGCCUUCGGGUUGUAAACUCCUUUCGCUAGGGACGAAGCUUUUGUGACGGUACCUAGAUAAGAAGCACCGGCUAACUACGUG
rnacentral:rRNA from 1 species